UGUGAAUCUAUUCAUUUCUCCACUGUGAAAUGCUGUGUCACAUGUGUGUCAGUAGGUGGCAGAGAGGAGAGGUUGUGUCUAUCUCAGGGUUCUGAUCUACGAACAUCUGAGUGAUUAGUAGCCUAACAUU